UACAGAGGUCUCAAGCGUUUGUUCGGAUUCAUUGGGCGUAAAGGGUGCGUAGGCGGCGCGGUAAGUCGGGUGUGAAAUCUCGGAGCUUAACUCCGAAACUGCAUUCGAUACUGCCGUGCUUGAGGACUGGAGAGGAGACUGGAAUUUACGGUGUAGCGGUGAAAUGCGUAGAUAUCGUAAGGAAGACCAGUGGCGAAGGCGGGUCUCUGGACAGUUCCUGGACGCUGAGGCACGAAGGUCAGGGGGAGCAAAACCGGGG
rnacentral:rRNA from 1 species